rnacentral:rRNA from 1 species
CAGCACCUCAAGUGGUCAGGAUGAUUAUUGGGCCUAAAGCAUCCGUAGCCGGCGCUGUAAGUUUUCGGUUAAAUCUGUACGCUCAACGUACAGGCUGCCGGGAAUACUGCAGCGCUAGGGAGUGGGAGAGGUAGACGGUACUCGGUAGGAAGGGGUAAAAUCCUUUGAUCUAUUGAUGACCACCUGUGGCGAAGGCGGUCUACCAGAACACGUCCGACGGUGAGGGAUGAAAGCUGGAGGAGCAAACCGGAUUAGAUACCCGUGUAGUCC